AGUGAACGCUGGCGGUAGGCCUAACACAUGCAAGUCGAACGGCAGCACAGGAGAGCUUGCUCUCUAGGUGGCGAGUGGCGGACGGGUGAGGAAUACAUCGGAAUCUGCCCAGUCGUGGGGGAUAACGUAGGGAAACUUACGCUAAUACCGCAUACGACCUUCGGGUGAAAGAGGGGGAUCGCAAGACCUCUCGCGAUUGGAUGAGCCGAUGUCGGAUUAGCUAGUUAGCGGGGUAAUGGCCCACCAAGGCGACGAUCCGUAGCUGGUCUGAGAGGAUGAUCAGCCACACUGGAACUGAGACACGGUCCAGACUCCUACGGGAGGCAGCAGUGGGGAAUAUUGGACAAUGGGCGCAAGCCUGAUCCAGCCAUACCGCGUGGGUGGAGAAGGCCUUCGGGUUGUAAAGCCCUUUUGUUGGGAAAGAAAUCUUUCAGGCUAAUACCCUGGGAGGAUGACGGUACCCAAAGAAUAAGCACCGGCUAACUUCGUG
rnacentral:rRNA from 1 species